CCUACGGGGUGCAGCAGUGGGGAAUAUUGCGCAAUGGGCGCAAGCCUGACGCAGCGACGCCGCGUGAGGGAUGAAGGUCUUCGGAUCGUAAACCUCUGUCAGCAGGGAAGAACGGUCACUGUGCUAAUCAGCAGUGAAUUGACGGUACCUGCAAAGGAAGCACCGGCUAACCCCGUGCGCGCAGCCGCGGUAAUACGGAGGGUGCGAGCGUUAAUCGGAAUUACUGGGCGUAAAGGGCUCGUAGGCGGUAUGUCAAGUCAAGGGUGAAAUCCCCGCGCUCAACGUGGGAACUGCCUUUGAAACUGGCAAGCUAGAGUGUGUGAGAGGAAAGUGGAAUGCCAGGUGUAGGAGUGAAAUCCGUAGAUAUCUGACAGAACAUCAGUGGCGAAGGCAACUAUCCGGCACAUAACUGACGCUGAGGAGCGAAAGCGUGGGUAGCAAACAGGAUUAGAUACCCCUGUAGUC
rnacentral:rRNA from 1 species